GGUGAGGUGGGUGAGCGGUUUAAACCAGAAGUUUGCUAAAUUUCCGUAGGUGUAACAAUCUACCGUGGGUUCGAAUCCCACCCUCACCGCCA
rnacentral:tRNA from 1 species